AUGGAGACAAGAACUCCAGCAUCCACAUCUUUGUUCUACAUUUACACACACAUCCUCGCCGACGUGUGGACUUUGACAGGUUCAAACGACUCCUUCCUCCCCGCACCUCCGAAUUUCCAGUCGCCUCUCUUCGAGGUCAGCCGGCCGCGCGCAGGAGCCCUCCUCCUCCAUCCCCCCCGGGAGCCGGUCCUCCUCCAUCGCUCGCGGGAGCCGAUCCUCCUCCAUCGCCCACGGGAGCCCUCCUCCUCCAUCGCCCACGGGAGUCGGUCCUCCUCCAUCGCCCGCGGGAGUCGGUCCUCCUCCAUCGCCCGCGGGAGUCGGUCCUCCUCCAUCGCCCGCGGGAGUCGGUCCUCCUCCAUCCGCCCACGGGAGCCCUCCUCCUCCAUCGCCCACGGGAGUCGGUCCUCCUCCAUCGCCCACGGGAGCCCUCCUCCUCCAUCGCCCACGGGAGUCGGUCCUCCUCCAUCGCCCGCGGGAGUCGGUCCUCCUCCAUCGCCCACGGGAGCCCUCCUCCUCCAUCGCCCACGGGAGUCGGUCCUCCUCCAUCGCCCGCGGGAGCCGGUCCUUCUCCAUCGCGCGCGACGCCGCCACCGCGCGGCUGCCCAGCGGGCCGGGUCGGGCUGCGCCGGCCCUGAACCCGCGAGCGCCGGCCGCCCAGGGGGCACGCGGACCCUACCGCUAAGUCACCGGGCGGACCCUGGUUUUUGUUUUAAGAGAAAAAAACUGCUUGAAAGAAAAGCAAAGGGUUCCUCGGAGCAGAAGUUUGCCGGGCCGGCCCACUCCCACGGGGAGGGGUCGAGGGAGCCGCAGGCGCACAGGGCCGGCGCCGCGCCGCGAGACCCCGCGCCCGGCCCGCACGCCCGAGACUUUCCAGGCGGGUCCGGGGAGAGCCCGCGGGGAGGAGCUGGGCCCGAGGACUCCCGGACCGCCCGCCAGGUCCCCGCCCCGCCGGCCCCGGCAGGCGGCAGAGGGACGGCGUCGGGGCGACCCUCAGCUCUCGCUGUUGUCCCCGGCCCAGCUCCUGCGGAAGAGGCGCCCCUGGGCUCGGCGGCCCGAGGCUGCUCGGCGCGGAGAGGACGCGGUCCCCAGCCCACCCGCCGCCGGCUCCGCCCCUCAGGGCCUCGCCCUGCGCUCGCCCAGCGUCCGCCAAGCCCCGCGCGUCCCGCCUCGGGGCCGACACUCACCCUCUCCAGGCAGGAGCGGGAGCCGCCAGCGGACCGACGCGGCCCCGCCCGGCGCCUCCACGCGGGGCGCUGGACUACAUUUCCCACAAGGCUGCGGGGGCGAGGCGUGGGGUCGGAGUGCGCAGGCGCGAGUCCGGAGGCGCAGGCUCCCGGGACAGCAGCUCGGCGUCCCUGGGCUAGCGGCUUGCCGAGCGAGAAGCGGACUGCGCGGCUACCUUCUUCCGGCGACCCUUACCCAGCCCUUCGUGAGUCUGUCGAUGCCCACCGGGAGAGGAGAGAAGGGGCAGACAGCCUUGGCGAAGCCUCGCCGUGCUCCUCUGAAAUAAAGGAACGCCGGAGGAGUCCCUUGCGAAGUUGUCAGAAGGAGCAGAGGAGGUAG
rnacentral:lncRNA from 1 species